rnacentral:tRNA from 1 species
GGGGUUGGGGCUCAGUGGUAGAGUGUCUGCGUGGCGUGCGAAAGUUCUAAGGUUCGAUUCCCAGCAUCUCCA